GGCUAUUUUUGUCAUCAGAAAAUAUGUGUUAAUAAACUAGAAAUCUGUUUGAGAAGGUGAACAGCACGGCAUGAUCAUAUCUGAUACUGACAAGUGCAUACGUCACUGCAUAGCACUUACCAGUUACCACUUCUGCUAGCUCCUUCAAUGCCACCAGUUUUGUGAUUCCUUCUCUGGAAUGUAAGUGAAAGGAAACGUGCUGACACUCACCUUGCAAUCAUCAUCAUCAUGAACCUGUUAAUUUAAGUGUCUCUGUUGUUAUGGUUUCAGGUGGAUGUGGCUAAUAUCUGACCAUGGUAAAAUCGUGUGCUGCCAUCUCCUGCACCAAUCGAUUUGUGCGUGGCUGUAAUAUAUCCUUUCAUAAGUUUCCCAAGCAGUCCAAGGACAGCACACUGAGAUCAAUGGAUACAGGCCAUCAGUAGAGAAGCGGUGGGGACCAAGAGGAGAUGGAUCCCGGGGGAUCAUAAUUACGUAUGCAGCAACCAUUUCAGGGAGGAGGACUUCAUCCUCUCAAAACAUGCAAAACACAAGCUUCACAGGCCAGGGACUGUACCAUCCCUCAAUUUGGGGAAACCAGAGAAAAAGAUCGCAGUGAGGACAACCCAAACCAGCCAGGAAGCAGUGGCAUUCGACCAGCACAUCGACAUGGAGUCCUUUACUAAAACAGUUCUAUUUAGAAAUCAGUGACUUCCCAAUAUCCUUAUUAUUUCCAGCAAUGCCUAUAAAUUCCUGUAUUUUGUGCAAAAACUCCUGUAUAUUUUGAAGCCUUUUGACGCACUGAAAAUUAGUAAUUUGUUCACUUUGUGAAAAUUUUGUAGAAAAGUACACUUAUGGUGAGAUUUUUAAAAAGCCAUGCAUUUCAUAUCAUCAAAUUGCUUUUCUCGAAACAAUUUUGGCACGCUAUUUCUGGGAAAAUAGGCUACUUCAUAAGUUUCAAACUGAAACAUUUUGUUUUUGCCCUAAAGCUGGCGUUUAAUAGCAAAUUGUUCAUGGAAUUUUAUUGUGAAAUAUAUAUUUCCUACAAUACUCCUAUAUUUUCUCAAAGAAGACUUUUAUAUUGUCGUAUUUCUCUCUGUCAAGUGCACUUGAUACCCUGUAAAUAUUUUAUUGGAACAUGGAUAUUUGCAACUGAACCUACAAGUGGUGUAGCUAUUGUAAUGCAAUUUAGCAACACAAACCUUUGUCUAGGUGGUGUAUUUUAUAUUUUUUGGUAACAAG